rnacentral:rRNA from 1 species
CCUACGGGAGGCAGCAGUGAGGCAUAUUGGUCAAUGGACGAGAGUCUGAACCAGCCAAGUAGCGUGAAGGAUGACUGCCCUAUGGGUUGUAAACUUCUUUUAUAUGGGAAUAAAAUGUUCCACGUGUGGGAUUUUGUAUGUACCAUAUGAAUAAGGAUCGGCUAACUCCGUGCCAGCAGCCGCGGUAAUACGGAGGAUCCGAGCGUUAUCCGGCUUUAUUGGGUUUAAAGGGAGCGUAGGUGGAUUGUUAAGUCAGUUGUGAAAGUUUGCGGCUCAACCGUAAAAUUGCAGUUGAAACUGGCAGUCUUGAGUACAGUGGAGGUGUGCGGAAUUCGUGGUGUAGCGGUGAAAUGCUUAGAUAUCACGAAGAACUCCGGUUGCGAAGGCAGUUCACUGGACUGCAACUGACACUGAGGCUCGACAGUGUGGGUAUCAAACAGGAUUAGAUACCCUUGUAGUC